UACAGAGGGGGCGAGCGUUGUUCGGAAUUACUGGGCGUAAAGGGUGCGUAGGCGGCGCGGUAAGUCGGGUGUGAAAUCUCGGAGCUUAACUCCGAAACUGCAUUCGAUACUGCCGUGCUUGAGGACUGGAGAGGAGACUGGAAUUUACGGUGUAGCGGUGAAAUGCGUAGAUAUCGUAAGGAAGAUCAGUGGCGAAGGCGGGUCUCUGGACAGUUCCUGACGCUGAGGCACGAAGGUCAGGGGAGCAAACGGG
rnacentral:rRNA from 1 species